rnacentral:rRNA from 1 species
UGCAGUCGAGCGGAUGAGAGGAGCUUGCUCCUCGAUUCGCGGCGGACGGGUGAGUGUGCCUACGAAUCUGCCUAGUCUGGGGGACAACGAUUCCAAAGGAACGCUAAUACCGCAUACGUCCUACAGGAGAAAGCGGGGGAUCUUCGGACCUCACGCUAUUAGAUGAGCCUAUGUCGGAUUACCUAGUUGGUAGGGUGAAGGCCUACCAAGGGGACUAUCCGUAACUGGACUGAGAGGAUGAUCGGUCACACUGGAACUGACACUGGGACCGAACUCCUACGGGAAGUCCUAGUGGGGAAUAUUGGACAAUGGGCGAAAGCCUGAUCCAGCCAUGCCGCGUGUGUGAACAAGGGCCUCGGGACGUACAGCACUUUAAGUUGGGAGGAAGGGCUUACAGAGAAUACCUGUGAGUUUUGACGUUACCAACAGAAUAAUCACCGGCUAACUUCGUGCCAGCAGCCGCGGUAAUACCAAGGGUGCAAGCGUUAAUCGGAAUUACUGGGCGUAAAGCGCGCGUAGGUGGCUUGAUAAGUUGGAUGUGAAAUCCCCGGGCUCAACCUGGGAACUGCAUCCAAAACUGUCUGGCUAGAGUGCGGUAUAGGGUACCGGAAUUUCCAGUGUAGCGGUGAAAUGCGUAGAUAUUGGAAGGAACACCAGUGGCGAAGGCGACUACCUGGACUGACUCUGACACUGAGGUGCGAAAACGUGACGAGAAUACAUGAUUAGAUACCCUGUGUACGUCCACGCCGUAGAACGAUGUCGACUAGGCAGAUGGCGAUCCCUUGACGAUCU